UUUCUCUGGAGGAUCUCCGCGCGUGGCGAGUCUGUGUCCUCCCUGUCCCCCAGAGCAGACACCCUCUCUGUGUCUGGACCGGGGAGGAGCAGACGCUGGACAGGUUUCUGGUAGAAUGCUGGCAAUUUCCAGGAAGAUACGUGGAGAACGGAAAGGUUGCUACACCCAAAUAGUGAAGCAAAGGCUAUGAUUAUGGAGGAUUGGACCUGCAAACUCCAGAACAGAGCAACCUUGUAAAAUGUGUGUGGGCAGCACAGAGAACUUGGGCAAGUUAACAGUUUCCUCAUCUGUGAAUACUGAUUUAUGGAAAGCACCUGGUGCGUGUUCUGCCCUCUGAGGACCCUGCCCUUUCCCAAAAGGGGUAUCUUAAGAAGGAAAAUAUGGCUGCUCUUUGCCGGACAGCAGAGUCCCAGGAUGUGGCUGUGAACUUCACUAGGAAGAAUGGAGAGAACUGGACCUUGCUCAGAGAGUCUUGUACAGGGAUGUAAUGCUGGAGAACUAUAGGAACCUGGUCUCCUUGG
rnacentral:lncRNA from 1 species